GCGGGCCCACCUGACCCCAUGCCGAACUCAGAAGUGAAACGCCGUAGCGCCGAUGGUAGUGUGGGGUCUCCCCAUGCGAGAGUAGGGAACUGCCAGGC
rnacentral:rRNA from 1 species